rnacentral:rRNA from 1 species
UAGUCUGGUGCCAGCAGCCGCGGUAAUUCCAGCUCCAAUAGCGUAUAUUAAAGUUGUUGCAGUUAAAACGCUCGUAGUCGGAUUUCGGGGCAGGUUUGCCGNUCUGCCGAUGGGUAUGCACUGGUAGAACUGUCCUUCCUUCCGGAGACGGCGCCUACUCUUAACUGAGCGGGUGUCGGAGACGGAUCGUUUACUUUGAAAAAAUCAGAGUGUUUCAAGCAGGCAGCUCGCUUUUGCAUGGAUUAGCAUGGGAUAAUGAAAUAGGACUUUGGUGCUAUUUUGUUGGUUUCGAACACCGAAGUAAUGAUUAACAGGGACAGUCAGGGGCACUCGUAUUCCGCCGAGAGAGGUGAAAUUCUUAGACCAGCGGAAGACGAACCACUGCGAAAGCAUUUGCCAGGGAUGUUUUCACUGAUCAAGAACGAAAGUUAGGGGAUCGAAGACGAUCAGAUACCGUCGUAGUCUUAACCAUAAACCAUGCCGACUAGGGAUUGGGGGAUGUUCCUAUGUGACUCCUUCAGUACCUUUCGGGAAACUAAAGUCUUUGGGUUCCGGGGGGAGUAUGGUCGCAAGGCUGAAACUUAAAGGAAUUGACGGAAGGGCACCACCAGGAGUGGAGCCUGCGGCUUAAUUUGACUCAACACGGGGAAACUUACCAGGUCCAGACAUUGUGAGGAUUGACAGAUUGAGAGCUCUUUCUUGAUUCGAUGGGUGGUGGUGCAUGGCCGUUCUU